ACCAAAAUAGCUCAGUUGGGAGAGCGUUAGUCUAUAGAUCGAAAGCUCUUGGUUCUAUCCCGGGCUUCGGCA
rnacentral:tRNA from 1 species